rnacentral:snRNA from 1 species
CAAGCCCACGUUACUGAGCUCGAC